CUUUGCUCAGUGCAGAACGUAAGCAGCUCUUGACAACAAAGGAGAGCAGUGUUUUCAAGCAUACUUCACACAACAUUUGACACCGCUCCCACUAACACAUCCAGAUCACUCUUUAAUUACACAGAACUCCAGGUAUUAACACUUGCCAGGUAAACUAGCUACUGUAUCUGGUGUUGGACAACAGGCCAGAGCACGAGCUGAAUUUGAAACCAAAGCAAGUUCUCACCCUCAUGCCAAGUACCAGGAAGCCAAUCUCCUCCAUCAGCGGGUACUUGCUGACCUGCUGCUGGAUCUUCUCUGCUGAAGCAUACGGAUCGUAACUUUUCUGCCCUAUUUUUACAUCCAUUAUGCACGGCUUGUUAAAUUUACGGGUCACGUCUUCCAGUUUCAGAUACGUAUCAUUUGGUGCAGUAGGUGGUGACCAGACACCGAAGUAUUUUGGCAGAUACUCUCUCAGCUCCAGAAGAACGCUGUCGCAACAGUCAGAGUCAUAAACCUUGUUGUAGAACUCCUGCUCCCUGGGACCUCGUGGCGGGGGCUGCAGCUGCUUCAGGACAGUCCCAUCUGGAUGCUGCAGUAUACCGCCUUUAUCCUUGCCGUACAUGUGCCCGGCCACCUGGUGCGACAGCGGCACGCAGCCGUUCAGCCCCCGCCGCCGGCCCCCCGCCGCCGCCGGCAGCACGGCCACCGCGGGGCCCGGGGCGGCGCCUCCCGCCUGCUGGGCCGCGGCCUCCUCCGCCUCGCCGCGCCCGCCGCCCGCGCAGCGCCCGCACCCGCCCUCGGGGUGCCCGGCCGCGGGCGGCGCCGGCCGCGGGGGCUCCGUGGCCAUUUCCCGAGGGGGAAGCGAGCGGCUGCGGCGUUGCGGCGGGCGGGGCUCAGCGGGCGCCGCGUGCUGGGGCGCGAGCGGCGAGGGCCCACGGCUCCAUCACCCCGCUCUGCUCCGUGCGAGCCGUGCCGUGCCUAGCCGAGCCGAGCCG
rnacentral:lncRNA from 1 species